rnacentral:rRNA from 1 species
AUUGAACGCUGGCGGCAUGCUUUACACAUGCAAGUCGAACGGUAACAGGCCUUCGGGUGCUGACGAGUGGCGAACGGGUGAGUAAUGCAUCGGAACGUACCCAGAGGUGGGGGAUAACGCAGCGAAAGCUGUGCUAAUACCGCAUGUGAUCUGAGGAUGAAAGCGGGGGACCGAGCAGCAAUGUUUGGCCUCGCGCCUUUGGAGCGGCCGAUGUCGGAUUAGCUAGUUGGUGGGGUAAAGGCCUACCAAGGCGACGAUCCGUAGCUGGUCUGAGAGGACGACCAGCCACACUGGGACUGAGACACGGCCCAGACGCCUACGGGAGGCAGCAGUGGGGAAUUUUGGACAAAGGGCGCAAGCCUGAUCCAGCAACGCCGCGUGCGGGAAGAAGGCCUUCGGGUUGUAAACCGCUUUUGGCAGGAACGAAACGGUGUCCGCUAAUACCGGGCGCUAAUGACGGUACCUGCAGAAUAAGCACCGGCUAACUACGUG